GACGAACGCUGGCGGCGUGCUUAACACAUGCAAGUCGAACGGACCUUCGGGUUAGUGGCGAACGGGUGAGUAACACGUGGGUGAUCUGCCCUGCACUUUGGGAUAAGCCUGGGAAACUGGGUCUAAUACCGAAUAGGACCACGGCAUUCAUGUGCUGUGGUGGAAAGCUUUUGCGGUGUGGGAUGGGCCCGCGGCCUAUCAGCUUGUUGGUGGGGUAAUGGCCUACCAAGGCGACGACGGGUAGCCGGCCUGAGAGGGUGACCGGCCACACUGGGACUGAGAUACGGCCCAGACUCCUACGGGAGGCAGCAGUGGGGAAUAUUGCACAAUGGGCGCAAGCCUGAUGCAGCGACGCCGCGUGAGGGAUGACGGCCUUCGGGUUGUAAACCUCUUUCGCCAGGGACGAAGCGCAAGUGACGGUACCUGGAGAAGAAGGACCGGCCAACUACGUGCCAGCCGCCGCCGUAAGAC
rnacentral:rRNA from 1 species